rnacentral:rRNA from 1 species
AGUGAACGCUGGCGGUAGGCCUAACACAUGCAAGUCGAACGGCAGCACAGUAAGAGCUUGCUCUUACGGGUGGCGAGUGGCGGACGGGUGAGGAAUACAUCGGAAUCUACUUUUUCGUGGGGGAUAACGUAGGGAAACUUACGCUAAUACCGCAUACGACCUACGGGUGAAAGCAGGGGAUCUUCGGACCUUUCGCGAUUGAAUGAGCCGAUGUCGGAUUAGCUAGUUGGCGGGGUAAAGGCCCACCAAGGCGACGAUCCGUAGCUGGUCUGAGAGGAUGAUCAGCCACACUGGAACUGAGACACGGUCCAGACUCCUACGGGAGGCAGCAGUGGGGAAUAUUGGACAAAGGGCGCAAGCCUGAUCCAGCCAUACCGCGUGGGUGAAGAAGGCCUUCGGGUUGUAAAGCCCUUUUGUUGGGAAAGAAAAGCAAAAGGUUAAUACCCCGCUGUUCUGACGGUACCCAAAGAAUAAGCACCGGCUAACUUCGUG